rnacentral:rRNA from 1 species
UGGGGAAUAUUGCACAAUGGGGGGAACCCUGAUGCAGCAACGCCGCGUGAAGGAAGACGGUUUUCGGAUUGUAAACUUCUAUCAAUAGGGACGAAGAAAGUGACGGUACCUAAAUAAGAAGCCCCGGCUAACUACGUGCCAGCAGCCGCGGUAAUACGUAGGGGGCAAGCGUUAUCCGGAAUUACUGGGUGUAAAGGGUGAGUAGGCGGCACGGCAAGUAAGAUGUGAAAGCCCACGGCUUAACUGUGGGAUUGCAUUUUAAACUGUUGAGCUAGAGUACAGGAGAGGAAAGCGGAAUUCCUAGUGUAGCGGUGAAAUGCGUAGAUAUUAGGAAGAACACCAGUGGCGAAGGCGGCUUUCUGGACUGGAAACUGACGCUGAGGCACGAAAGCGUGGGGAGCGAACA